UGAGGCUCUGAUAGUCCCUGCACCUGUACCUACUCCUCAGGUGGGGACAGCAGACGCCCAGC
ensembl:miRNA